CUCAACCUGUGUAUGCACUAAACAUAGCAUAACUUAAACAUUAAUCCCUCAGUGGGAUCUCAUCAUUUGCCCUAAUGGGCGAUACAUCAGAAGUUGAGUUGGUAAAACAUAAACAUCAAGAUCAUGUAUAUAACAAAAGGGAUUACAACAGAUUAUGGUCAAGCACACUUCUAAACCUUAAUACCAUCAUUACAUAACAUGGCUAAACAUAACAUUAAAUCAUUACAAAGUUUGUCAUGUCCACUUUCUAUCUAUUACAAAACAAGGACUUCUU
rnacentral:lncRNA from 1 species